rnacentral:rRNA from 1 species
UACGGAGGAUGCAAGCGUUAUCCGGAAUGAUUGGGCGUAAAGCGUUUUAAGGUGGUUUGGUAAGUCUACUGUUAAAUAUCAGGGCUUAACCCUGAACAGGCAGUGGAAACUAGCAAGCUUGAGUACGGUAGGGGCAAAGGGAAUUCCUGGUGUAGCGGUGAAAUGCGUAGAUAUCAGGAGGAACACCGGUGGUGUAAACGGCUUUCUGGACCGUAACUGACGCUGAUGCACGAAAGCGUGGGUAGCAAACAGG